GUAAUAGUUAAGUUCUUGAAACCCAAAGAAUUUGGCGGUAUCUUAUUCUUUUUAGAGGAACCUGUCCUGUAAUUGAUAUUCCACGAUGGUGAAUUACUUACUCUUGUAUUCAUUUUGUAUACCUCCGUCAUCAGAGUAUCUUUUUAGAGUAAAUAUUCUAUGCAUAUUAAGUAUAUUAUGUCAGGUCAAGGUGCAAUUUAUGAGUAAGUAGAGAUGGGUUACAAUAAUAUUACUUAUACGAAUUAGUAUUUUAUUUGUACUAUGAAGGUGGAUUUAAAAGUAAAGUUAAGUUCCUUUUUAACUUGAUUUUAGCUCUAGGAUAUGCACACAUCGCCCG
rnacentral:rRNA from 1 species